ACUUGCACGAGGAGCGCGAUAAACGAACAAAGAGUACAGAGUUUCCGGGAAUAUAAAAACCUUUUUUUAACAUUAAUGUCUGCGACUAUGCUGUUUAUCUCUAUGUAUUACGGUAUUAAUAAUCCAAUUAACUCGAUCAUAAAAGGGAGAUAACAGAAUCUAUUACUCCAUUUUCGCUUAGAUACAAGUCGAUCGUAUUAUCGGUGAAGAUUUUUCUGCGCGGAAAGAUGUAAAGACUCUACUCAAUUAGACGUUCUUCGUCAUAAAACGAGAAAUUAAUUAAAAAUGGAAAUGAAAUAAAAUCGAUUACACGGAGGAUUUCGAUGAUACGUCCUUUGGAAUUCAAUUAACGUUCAUAAAUAAGAUUGCCUCGAUUGGACUUGUUUUUUAUUUCCGUUUGUAAAAAAGGCGGAUAAAUCGAAAGAAAAAAUGUUCUUCGCAUAAGAGGAUGUCGAAGAAGCAGAGCGUGAAUUUCCUCGAUUCGUCGUCGUACUUCGCAAGUAAUAAUACGAGAGAAAGAAAGCCUGCAUAUGCAAGAAGGAAACAAUGGUGCUCGCGUAUAGGUGGAAAUCAGAAGAGGAAGGGGAGACAGAGACAGAGAAAAAAAUGAAUGAAAGAAAAAGAAAAGGAGACAGACAGACAGAGAGAUAGAGAGAGAGAGAGAGAGAGAGAGAGAGAGAGAGAAAGAAUGAGAUAGAGAAUCGACAACGCGAAACCAAUCCGAGCUCACCGCCUUACGCACUCUUCUGAGGAUGAAAAAAUGCCAUGGAACUGAUCAUAAAUCCAACUCUCUCGACUGCAUCCACAGGCGUGAAAUUAAAAGAUCGAUUGCGAUGCCGAGAGAUGAAGUAGAAGCACGAGUGCUCAAACGCACCACCGCAGUUCCUUCGUACCAACGCUUCAUUCUCAUCUUUUCCAUUCUUUAUUUAUUUAAUUACGAGAGAAUUAAUUUAAUCUAGCAAUACGGUGAAAUUUGAUGGUCUAGUGUUGGUAAAAAUUAAUUCUUAUUAAAAUGAUAUUUAACCGAAUAUUAAAUUAAAAUAUAUACAUAAUAUUAAUGAUAAUAAUUCUUCAUUAUCGAGAAAAAACUUUAGAUCUAAUGAUUUUCGUUCGAAAGUAAAUAAGAUCGAGAAUCUACUGGCGAUCGUCAUCGAUUGUUGCACCAUUACGUCGUUAUCUUCGCGUUACCACGACGAACGAACGAGAAGAAUAGUCUGAGAAGAAAGCGAUGAAGGGUUUAUCUUAAUCCACGGUUCACCGAGCAGACGAGGUGCUCGGCAAUCCCGUCGACCACCCCAUCGAGUCAACCACCUCACCCCCUCCCUUUCGAUCGUCUAUGCCCACCUACCAUCUUAGACUCACCAUAACCGAUCACACUUGCUUUCAUCGACUUGUUCUUUUUCAUCGUAGAGAGAACACCUAGACUAUCGAUAUAGUAUAUAGACGCAUACCUAGCUACGUUUUAUACUACACGUUCACUGAUCGAUCUAGAUUGGAAACAUUUUAAGAAAGCAACUGCACACAGAGCAGAUGCUUUCAUACAUUUUUCUAUCUACGUUCGUUUUCAAAAGGUUACCUUAACGAAACUAAAAGUUGUUUGAACGCAUUUAAACUAAAAACGAGACAUCCUCCAUCCCCCACCAUCCGAUGUUCUCGCGAAACUAACGAGAAAACUUCCUACGAAAGGUUAGACCCUUUCGAGCGACUUUUAUUCGAGAUUUUUGAAACGUCGACUAGCCUUAUUUCCAAGGAAACAGGUUUUUCUCUCCGGUCUAGACUUUGUCGACGUUUAUGGGAUAAGAAUUUUAAAUAAAACAAAAAUGAGGAAAGGGGAAAAAAGAAAAAGAAAAUGAAAAAAAUUAAGAAAGAAAGAAAGAAAGAAAGAAGAAAAAAAGAAAAACAUCUCUCACGUUGCUUUAUCGAUUUCUUAACAAGUCUCAACGUCCGGAUAAACCGGCAAGAUAUAAGCACGGAUAUAAACGGAGAUAUAAACGGCAUGGAGUCUUGGGGGAUGGGCAAACACCUGUAAUGUCGUGUUCGAGGCGUCACGUGCCCGGGCGUGGCCGUGACGGAAGUCUUUCAGGCGCAAAAAGCCGAUCAGAGCCCGUGCGCCUCAAAAACCUGCCGUAUCCCUUGCUCUUGGAUUCUCGGAUUCAUUAAACCACAAAUUCGCCGUUUCGACUCGGCGCAAUCCGUCGCGAAAUUGAUGCGAAACAAAUCGAAAAAGAUACAAGAUCGAUGAGCUAGCUAGCACUAACGAUAAGUUUUCUUCUAUAAGUUUUUAAUGAAAAAAAAAGAAAAAAAACAAAAAAACAAAAAAACAAAAAGAAAAAAUAAAGAAAGAAAAAAGUGAUUAUUCGUUUCUUUAUUUUCAGAUGUUUACAUCACGUACAAUGUGAAUUAGCGAUGACAAGACACUCUACAGUUUAUCAGCAACCUUCAGAAUGUCUACCAACACCUACACUGUUAGUGAGUUAGAGCGAACAAGAAGCCGGAAAACCACGAAGGUCGGUGGCCGUCAUUGAUCUCCUGUUAGAAUCGAAUCACUUGGAUGUAACAAGAUAAAUAGUCAGCGGGAUGUCGUCGAUGGUGAAGGGUGAAGAUUGCCAGUCAUGCUGACUAUCUGUCCUAUUCGAAGCACGAUAUUUAUUCGUGAAGCAACGUCUAUUGAAAUGGAUGGUCAAGGCCCAGUUACCUUUGACGCUAUUAAAUACCUAAGUUGGAAAAGUACAUAUCUUCAGACUCAACGGAGCAAGAAAAGUUUCCACUGCCACAGAAAUGCGCUCGAUAAAUAUUUAACGAGUAAUUUGUUGCCUUCGAAUAUGUAUAUAUUCGACUAAGCAAGUAAGACAAUGUAAAGAAGUUUCACGAAUUACUCAUUGUUAGAAAGUUCGAACAAAUAGUAUAUAUAUAUAAAUACAUACAUACUAUUAUUUACAAUUUAUAUAUAUACUAAUACACAUAUAAGUAACUUCUAAAUCUUACAUGUACAUAUGUACAUACA